rnacentral:lncRNA from 1 species
UUUUUUUGGCAAAUUCCAGAUUUUUCCUUAGUUCUCCAUUUCUCUGACGUUGUUUUCCCCUCCUCCUUCAUCAUUUCUUAAUUUCUUUUUGACAAACCCUUUUAUUUUUUUUCUUUUUUUUACUGCUGAAAUUUUCAUUCCCUAUCUUCUCCCUUUUUGGUUCUUUUCCAUCUGUUUCGUGUGAGCAGACGUAUGAUUGCG